rnacentral:tRNA from 1 species
GGCUGUAGCUCAGUGGCAGAGUGCCUGCCUAGCACGUGAGAGGACUAGGUUCAAUACUUAGCACCA